AACUAGCAUAUCAAUAAGCGGAGGAAAAGAAACCAACAGGGAUUGCCUUAGUAACGGCGAGUGAAGCGGCAAUAGCUCAAAUUUGAAAGCUGGCCCCUUCGGGGUCCGCGUUGUAAUUUGUAGAGGAUGAUUCGGCGAGGGCUCCCGUCUAAGUCCCUUGGAACAGGGCGUCAUAGAGGGUGAGAAUCCCGUAUGUGAUGGGCUGCCUUAGCCAUGUGAAUCUCCUUCGACGAGUCGAGUUGUUUGGGAAUGCAGCUCUAAAUGGGAGGUAAAUUUCUUCUAAAGCUAAAUACCGGCCAGAGACCGAUAGCGCACAAGUAGAGUGAUCGAAAGAUGAAAAGCACUUUGGAAAGAGAGUUAAAAAGUACGUGAAAUUGUUGAAAGGGAAGCGCUUGCAGCCAGACUUGUCCGCAGUUGCUCAGCUUGUCUCCUGACAGGCGUACUCUUCUGCGGCCAGGCCAGCAUCAGUUCGGGCGGUCGGAUAAAGACCUGGGGAAUGUAGCUCCUCUCGGGGAGUGUUAUAGCCCUGGGUGCAAUGCGGCCAGCCUGGACUGAGGAUCUCGCUUCGGCUAGGAUGCUGGCGUAAUGGCUGUAAGCGGCCCGUCUUGAAACACGGACCAAGGAGUCUAACAUCUAUGCGAGUGUUUGGGUGUCAAACCCAUGCGCGUAAUGAAAGUGAACGGAGGUGGGAACCCUCACGGGUGCACCAUCGACCGAUCCUGAUGUCUUCGGAUGGAUUUGAGUAAGAGCAUAGCUGUUGGGACCCGAAAGAUGGUGAACUAUGCCUGAAUAGGGUGAAGCCAGAGGAAACUCUGGUGGAGGCUCGCAGCGGUUCUGACGUGCAAAUCGAUCGUCAAAUUUGGGUAUAGGGGCGAAAGACUAAUCGAACCAUCUAGUAGCUGGUUCCUGCCGAG
rnacentral:rRNA from 1 species